rnacentral:rRNA from 1 species
AGUGAACGCUGGCGGUAGGCCUAACACAUGCAAGUCGAACGGCAGCACAGUAAGAGCUUGCUCUUACGGGUGGCGAGUGGCGGACGAGUGAGGAAUACAUCGGAAUCUACUUUUUCGUGGGGGAUAACGUAGGGAAACUUACGCUAAUACCGCAUACGACCUACGGGUGAAAGCAGGGGAUCUUCGGACCUUGCGCGAUUGAAUGAGCCGAUGUCGGAUUAGCUAGUUGGCGGGGUAAAGGCCCACAAAGGCGACGAUCCGUAGCUGGUCUGAGAGGAUGAUCAGCCACACUGGAACUGAGACACGGUCCAGACUCCUACGGGAAGCAGCAGUGGGGAAUAUUGGACAAUGGGCGCAAGCCUGAUCCAGCCAUACCGCGUGGGUGAAGAAGGCCUUCGGGUUGUAAAGCCCUUUUGUUGGGAAAGAAAAGCAGCAGGUUAAUACCCCGCUGUUCUGACGGUACCCAAAGAAUAAGCACCGGCUAACUUCGUG